CAAAGAUUUCACGAACCAUUCACAUUCUCACAUGCGUUGCUAUAAAAGAAUGCUAUAAAAAUUCAAAUUUUCGUGUGAAAGCUUUUUGCAAUUAUUUAGUACUUAGAAUAGUUUAAGGAUAUAAUAAUAAAUGGCUCAUCAACUUUGACAUAUUGGUUAACUGUGGUACUCGUAUAAAUUUGUUGAAUUGGUUGUUGUGAAGGUUGAAGACAAUUACAUUAUAAUUUUGGAGGUCUUUCGAACAUCUUAGAGAUAUAAUCCCUCAUUUCUCCAUCUACGUCGGCUUAGGGCAGAAGUUAGUUGCAGUGAUAUUUCAGUUAUUCCGUUUAGUUCAAGUGAAAUUUAUGUUCCGGCUCUUACAUCACCGGCAGCGAAAACUCUGCUCUCGAGCUUUGUUUAAUUAUUACAAAAGCGUCCGGCAGACGCUUUUUAUCUU